ACAAAAUAACACUAUAAUAAUAUUAUUAAUAGAAUUAAAUAAAAAAUUAGAUAAGAUAAUUAAAGAAAAAGAAGCUAUAAAAGAACAACCAAAAAAUACUGAAAUAGAAGAAUUAAUAAGUCAAUUAAAAAAUAUUGAGAUUACUCCACCUAAAGAAAGACCUAAUAUAGUUAGAAAAUCUCAAAAAUGGACUUUCUUUCAGGUAGAAGAACAACAACCGAAGAAAGACCACGAGUAAGCUUUUCCGAUAAUAGAAUAGGAAAUAACUUCAUAUCAAGAAUAUUAACAAAAAAUAAGCAAGAAGAUAAACAAAUCCAGGAG
rnacentral:lncRNA from 1 species